UCACUCCCAGAAUCACACCGUCGCAGUAGCUUAUUAGCUAGGUGGCAUGACAGAGUUGUAUUCAAAUACAUACGUGGUAAAGCUGCACCUGGGCACGUUGAAUGUCAUG
rnacentral:sRNA from 17 species